GGUUCAGUGGUCUAGUGGUCAUGAUUUCUGUCUCACAUGCUGAUUGUGCAUUGUUCACAGAAGGUCCCCGUUUCGAGCACGGGCUGAACCA